rnacentral:rRNA from 1 species
GGCCUACCAUGGUGGUAACGGGUAACGGGGUGUUAGGGCACGACACCGGAGAGGGAGCCUGAGAAACGGCUACCACAUCCAAGGAUGGCAGCAGGCGCGCAAAUUACCCAAUCCCGACACGGGGAGGUAGUGACAAUAAAUAACAAUACGGGGUUCUUUCGGAUCUCGUAAUUGGAAUGGGUACAAUUUAAAUCUCUUAACGAGGAACAAUUGGAGGGCAAGUCUGGUGCCAGCAGCCGCGGUAAUUCCAGCUCCAAUAGCGUAUAUUAAAGUUGUUGCAGUUAAAAAGCUCGUAGUUGAAUUUCGGGACCAAUUUGUUGGUCGUGCCUCGGUACGUACUGGUAUUAUUGGUUUCUCCCUUCUGAAGAACCUUGAUGUCAUUAAUUUGGUGUCUUGGGGAAUCAGGACUGUUACUUUGAAAAAAUUAGAGUGUUUAAAGCAGGCAUACGCUUGAAUACAUUAGCAUGGAAUAAUGAAAUAGGACGUUUGAUUCUAUUUUGUUGGUUUCUAGGAUCGACGUAAUGAUUAAUAGGGAUAGUUGGGGGCAUUAGUAUUCAAUUGUCAGAGGUGAAAUUCUUGGAUUUAUUGAAGACUAACUACUGCGAAAGCAUUUGCCAAGGAUGUUUUCAUUAAUCAAGAACGAAAGUUAGGGGAUCGAAGACGAUCAGAUACCGUCGUAGUCUUAACCAUAAACUAUGCCGACUAGGGAUCGGAUGAUGUUAAUUUUUUAAUGACUCAUUCGGCGCCUUACG